AUUGAACGCUGGCGGCAUGCUUUACACAUGCAAGUCGAACGGUAACAGGGUGCUUGCACCGCUGACGAGUGGCGAACGGGUGAGUAAUACAUCGGAAUGUACCCAGUAAUGGGGGAUAACGCUUCGAAAGGAGUGCUAAUACCGCAUACGCCCUGAGGGGGAAAGUGGGGGACCGCAAGGCCUCACGUUAUUGGAGCAGCCGAUGGCUGAUUAGCUAGUUGGUGAGGUAAAGGCUCACCAAGGCGACGAUCAGUAGCGGGUCUUAGAGGACGAUCCGCCACACUGGAACUGAGACACGGUCCAGACUCCUACGGGAGGCAGCAGUGGGGAAUCUUGGACAAUGGGCGCAAGCCUGAUCCAGCAAUGCCGCGUGCGUGAAGAAGGCCUUCGGGUUGUAAAGCGCUUUUGUCAGGGAGCAAAUCCUUGUGGCUAAUACCCACCGGGGAUGAGAGUACCCGAAGAAUAAGGACCGGCUAACUACGUGCCAGCCGCCGCUGUAACAC
rnacentral:rRNA from 1 species